rnacentral:rRNA from 1 species
GAUGAACGCUGGCGGCGUGCCUAAUACAUGCAAGUCGAGCGAACAGACGAGGAGCUUGCUCCUCUGACGUUAGCGGCGGACGGGUGAGUAACACGUGGAUAACCUACCUAUAAGACUGGGAUAACUUCGGGAAACCGGAGCUAAUACCGGAUAACAUGUUGAACCGCAUGGUUCAACAGUGAAAGACGGUCUUGCUGUCACUUAUAGAUGGAUCCGCGCCGCAUUAGCUAGUUGGUAAGGUAACGGCUUACCAAGGCAACGAUGCGUAGCCGACCUGAGAGGGGGGUCGCCCCACUGGGACCUGAGACACGGCCCAGCCCCCUCGGGGGGGACAACGUGGGGAUUUUUCCGCAAGGGGGGAAACCCUACCGGGGCAACCCCGGGGGAGUAAAGAAGGUCUCCGGACCGUAAACCCCUGUUAUUAGGAAAAAACAAAUGUUUAAGUAACUUUCCCCGUUUGGACGGUACCAAAUCAGAAAGCCCCGCCAAACUACGG